rnacentral:rRNA from 1 species
AGAGUUUGAUCCUGGCUCAGAUUGAACGCUGGCGGCAUGCCUUACACAUGCAAGUCGAACGGUAACAGGUCUUCGGAUGCUGACGAGUGGCGAACGGGUGAGUAAUACAUCGGAACGUGCCCGAUCGUGGGGGAUAACGGAGCGAAAGCUUUGCUAAUACCGCAUACGAUCUACGGAUGAAAGCAGGGGACCGCAAGGCCUUGCGCGGACGGAGCGGCCGAUGGCAGAUUAGGUAGUUGGUGGGAUAAAAGCUUACCAAGCCGACGAUCUGUAGCUGGUCUGAGAGGACGACCAGCCACACUGGGACUGAGACACGGCCCAGACUCCUACGGGAGGCAGCAGUGGGGAAUUUUGGACAAUGGGCGAAAGCCUGAUCCAGCCAUGCCGCGUGCAGGAUGAAGGCCUUCGGGUUGUAAACUGCUUUUGUACGGAACGAAAAGACUCCUUCUAAUAAAGGGGGUCCAUGACGGUACCGUAAGAAUAAGCACCGGCUAACUACGUGCCAGCAGCCGCGGUAAUACGUAGGGUGCAAGCGUUAAUCGGAAUUACUGGGCGUAAAGCGUGCGCAGGCGGUUAUAUAAGACAGAUGUGAAGUCCCCGGGCUCAACCUGGGAACUGCAUUUGUGACUGUAUAGCUAGAGUACGGCAGAGGGGGAUGGAAUUCCGCGUGUAGCAGUGAAAUGCGUAGAUAUGCGGAGGAACACCGAUGGCGAAGGCAAUCCCCUGGGCCUGUACUGACGCUCAUGCACGAAAGCG